rnacentral:rRNA from 1 species
GAGCGAUCAAGUGGAGCAAUCCAUGUAGUACAGCGGCGUACGGGUGAGUCACACGUGGGUGUAUCUACCUCUUUGUGGGGAAUAACCCUGGGAGACCGGGGCUAAUACCGCAUAAUCCUGAGAAGGGAAAGUCGAAAGACGCAUAGAGAGGAGCCCGCGGCCGAUUAGCUAGUUGGCAGGGUAAAAGCCUACCAAGGCAAAGAUCGGUAGCCGGCCUGAGAGGGCACACGGCCACACUGGCACUGAAACACGGGCCAGACUCCUACGGGAGGCAGCAGUGGGGAAUCUUGCACAAUGGGGGAAACCCUGAUGCAGCGACGCCGCGUGAGCGAUGAAGCCCUUCGGGGUGUAAAGCUCUUUCGGCAGGGAAGAUGAUGACGGUACCUGCAGAAGCAGCUGCGACUAACUACGUG